GAUUACUUUAUUCCCCCCCCAACCCCCCCCGCGGCGCCCGGAGCCGGAAAAACACAUUUUCCCCCAACACCCAGCUUCUGCACUUCGACGAACCCUUGAUUUCAGACCACCUACAUUUGGCCCCUUCCCAACGUUUGUUCAAGGCGUCACCUCCUCCGUCUUCAGCCAAAUCUCGUUUUCACUGUCCCAUUUUCCCACACCCUUCUCCCUUCCGUUGUUGGUUCUCCAUUUUCGACUACCUGCAAAAUGAAAAAAUCGAGUUCCCUUCAUUCCGGCUAGUAACGACAUUGUGACCCUACGUUUCCUUCCAUUACAACUGAGGUUAUGUGCCUCCAUUUCGUUUCCCAAGUUGAACUUUUGCCGCAAUCCAGUAUAAUCGUCCUCUGCUCUAGGGAAUAUCAUCGCCGUCCAGCUCCAAAUUUCUCAUGGGCUUUUCUUCAACACUAGAUUUUGCCCCCAUGAAUUGCAGAAAUAUCAGACAGCCAGAUACAGACCAGAUUCUUCAGAAUUGGGCAUGCUUUGCCCAUGUGAUACCCCUGAAGGUGAAGCUUGUGGAAUGGUAAAAAACUUGGCCUUGAUGACUCAUGUUACAACUGAUGAAGAGGAGGGCCCAUUAAUUUCUCUGGCAUUGAAUAGCACGCAUGUUCUGACCUCAUGCAGAAGAGGAGAGUUUUAUGAUCAGUGGGGUGAUAUGGCCAUUCAAGCUUGGGCUGAGUAGUAGUAACAUGAGUUUUCUAUCUUCGGGUUCGUCACCUUUCUCGAUCAAAGGUGAUAAGAGGUGUGGAACUUGGUAGCAGUUAUUUUAAUGACAGUAGAGUCCUCAAAUCUAUUAUAACAAUGAUGUUUAUAUAUUAUAUAAUUAGUAGCUCAGCUUGUACUUGAUAUGAUCAGUAUAAUGCACCACCCAGUGUAAAAAUAUACACGAGCUUGAAGAAAUUAUUGAAUUGAAUGGUCUCAUAUAUAUUUGUUGAUGCAUGGAUAAUUAGUUCGUAAUGUCAACCAGGUACAUUUGAAUGAAUGGAGGAAAAAUAGUUAAUUUUCAGGCUUUGGGAACAAUAAAAAAUGAGACCCAGUAAGAAUAUUGGGUUAUUAAAAGUCGAUUUUUAGGUUUUUCUAGCGAUUUUUCAAUCGCUGCCUAUAAGUUAAAAAACCAAAAAAUUCAAUAGUGGCGAUUGUGAAAUUGCUGGCAACACCUUUACCAGUGAUUUUUUAAUCGCCAAUAUUGAGUUCAAAAACCAAAACACAUUUCCCAGCGAUUAGGAAAUCGCUAGUAAAACCUUUCCCAACGAUUUUUUCGUCGCUACAAUUGAGUUUAAAAACCGAAAACAUCUUUCCCAGCUAUUAGGAAAUGGUUAGGAAAGGUUUUGCCAACGAUUUCCUAAUCGCCACGAUUGAGAUAAAAAUCGAAAACACCUUUCUCCACAAUUAGGAAAUCGCUGGUAAAGGUUUUUCCAACAAUUUCCUAAUUGCUGCGAUUGAGAUAAAAAUCGAAAACACAUUUCCCAGCGAUUAGGGAAUUGCUGGGAAAGGUUUUGCCAGCGAUUAAAUAAGCGCUGCUACUGAGUUCACUAACAAAAAACUCAAUUGCAGCAAUUAAAAAAUUGCUGGCAAAACCUUUCCUAGUGAUUUUCUAAUUGUUGGGAAAUGUGUUUUUAGUUUUUUAUCUCGAUAGCGGCGAUGAUAAAAUCGCCGGGAAAUCCUUUGCUUUUAGCGGUGAUUUUUAACUUCCACUAUAGUAUAUCAGAAAUGGAGGAAUAGUACCGGAGGAACUACAGCGAGUUUAAAAUCGCUGAGAUUGAUAUUUGGCUGGAAUUUUUUGGCUUUUCUUAGGAAAAGUGCCUUCCGUUGUAUUGCAGUGUGGAGGGCUGGCAAAGUCGUUAGACUUCACCGAUGUGGGGAACUCGUUCCUAUGUUUUAGUGCUUGAAAACUGUUAAAGAAAGUUGUGUGGAUACAGUAAUCUGAAAAAAUAAAUGUGACUUUGAUGCGUGUAAAACACUAUCUUUAAGAUGAUAAUUGCCCCCACUCGAAAGAGUUUGCUUCCGGGUUACAAGCAAUUCACCUCCAGGACACAACAAAGUCACCAACUAUAGAUAGCAAUUCUGAAGUCUUUCCUUCAGAGUUUCUCUACAAAAUUAUGUAAGUGAUUGAAAAAAUGAGAGAAUGGAAUGAAUUAAAUUUGUGGGUUUUAUCCUCUAUUUAUAGAGGGUGAAGUGACACCAUGUGAAAAAUCACAACUCUUAACUUGUGACUUUUCAACUGGUAGUUAUAGCUUAAAGGUCAUGUUGUUUCAUUGAAAGACCAAAGAACAUGUCUGGUUAAGUGGUUGGACAGCUCUCUUCCUAAAGGGAGGUCACUGGUUCAAAUCACACCUAUUCAACAUUUCUGUUGAAAUGAUUUUGAAGCACACCAAGUAGGUCUUCACACGGGCCGCACGGGCCGGUUUGAUCCAUGCGUGGUGCCUCUUCGACCCACCCCAGACAUUGUGUCUAUUCGGCCCAUGUGUGGUGCCUCUUCGGCCCAACCGGUUCAACCCAUGCGUGGUGUCUCUUUAGCUCCAACAUUAUGUCUCUUUGGCCCAACCUGUUCAGCCCUAGCAUUGUGCCUAUCCAAGUCCAACACUUUACUUAUUCCACAAAAUAAAUGAAAGUGCACUUGUGGAGUUUCAAACUCUUACCCUUUCAUUUGAAACAACACAUCACUACCACUGAACCAAUGCAUUUCGUUGAAAUAAUGGUUCAUUGAAAUCUAUAAUAACCCACAUUCAAUAAAUUUACAUAUUUAAUAUCACAAUCUAUAAUAAAUAUAACAAUCCCCCGCUUAGAUUGCGAUAUUAAAUUUUCAGUCAAAUACUGAUAUCUUGAUGCAUACAAGAAGGUAUCUCUCGACUUAAACCUUCAAUUAGUGUAAGUAUCUCAAAUUAUUAACAAAGUCAAUGGUGGCCUAGGCUUAAACCAAGACUCUAUACGUUAAGAACGGAAAUAUCACACAUAUGAUUCCAUCCAAUUUUAGCAAGAUAACUCACCAAUUAUUUGCAUUAAUACACGUGCUCCAUCCUGGCAUUCAUGAACAUUUACAAAGUAAACCUUAAACUUUUGCUAGAAGUUAUCCCCACCUCUUAUGUUCACAUAGGUAAAGUUCCUUUCAUGUCUUUGUUACUUCAGACACUAAUUCAACUAUUGAACUUUAUUAAGAGCAUAAUACCCAUCCUACAUUUAGCGUAACAGCUAGCACUGACCAUCCUAGAAGGGUUUCUCACAAUUAAAUUAAAUUUUAGUACUAUUCCAGCCACUUAACUGUAACUUGUUAUUACCCAUUAAACCUAGACUAUUUAUUAAUAGUGUAAGGUUGGGUUCCUAUUAUAGGUGACUUUUUAAAAGAAAGGUUUCAAACCCAUUCCACUAGAUGUACUAUUCACCAAAUCUCCCGAGAGUCCCUUUGUGAAAGGAUCUGUCAAGUUUUUACUUGACCGCAGAUAUACAAUAGUGAUAAUUCCAUCACUUAUUAAUUGUUUGACAUAUUCAUGUCUCAAGCUAAUAUGUCUAGAUUUUCCAUUAUAGACUUUACUUUAAGCCCUAGACAUAGUAGCUUCAAUGUAACUUGUUACGUACAAGUAAAGUCGCAUACUAAUUUGCAUAUCAAUAUUGAUUCAUUUAUAUUCAAAAUUUAAAUUGGCAUUAUUUUCAAUAAAAUCUACUUUUUGACCAAUUAUAUUAUAUUGGUGUACAUAUUAAUACAUAAUUGUACUUGUAAUUAAAUUUUUCGAUGGGAACAUAGGGGAGCAAGAGAGAAAAUUCCAGGUAAUGAUACCCUUCACUCUCGUUUACGAUUCGUUUACAAUCGGAUGACGUGGCAGCUUAUUUUUGUUUUCCUUUCAAAGCUUUUAAAAUCAUUUCUCAGCAACAAAAUCCAUCAAGAUAUUUGAAAUUCAAAAACAAAAUUUCAUCCGUUCGGCACCAUCAUCUCAGGUGACUCACUCUCCCUCCAUCUAUUCUCCACCCCUCCCCGACUCUCUCUCUCUCUCUCUCUCUCUCUCUCUCUCUCUCUCUCUCUCUCUCUCUCUCUAUGAUUUUGACCAAAAAUGGUUAACAUUUACUGGUUACAGCCUUCAUUGCUGCCAUACACACUGCCUAAGACACCCUUCUCACACCUCCAGCUUGCACGUCAUUUGAAUUUUUUACUUGGGUAAAUCCAAAAGUCCCUGAAUAUGGUCCAAGCAUGAUAGAUAGGGAACUAAAUGAGCAGGUGGUGGCUGAAGCUGCUCAAAGUCCUUUAAUGGACGAACACGAUAUAUCCAAAUAUAGGAUGAUGAGGGAACCAAAAGUUGUUCAGCACUGAGUUGAACUUGGAAACAAAACAAGUAGGAGCAAAAUAUUGAUCCAUAGAAUGCAUGGGAUCACACUUUGAGUGCGAUGGAUCUUUUUCAACUUGUACUUAUGACCCAUCAAUUAAUUUAAAUUAAACCUAAAAGCAAUUAAUGGAGCUUCCACUAAA